rnacentral:rRNA from 1 species
UACGUAGGGGGCAAGCGUUAUCCAGAUUUACUGGGCGUAAAGCGCGUGUAGGCGGCUGGUUAGGUGUGAUGUGAAAUCUUCCGGCUCAACCGGAAAACUGCAUUGCAAACCGGCCUGGCUAGAGUGCAGGAGAGGGAAGCGGAAUUCCAGGUGUAGCGGUGAAAUGCGUAGAUAUCUGGAGGAACACCGGUGGCGAAGGCGGCAUCCUGGACCAACACUGACACUGAUGAGCGAAAGCCAGGGGAGCAAACGGG